rnacentral:rRNA from 1 species
UUAACUCUGGAACUGCCAUCAAAACUUUUUAGCUAGAGUAUGAUAGAGGAAAGCAGAAUUUCUAGUGUAGAGGUGAAAUUCGUAGAUAUUAGAAAGAAUACCAAUUGCGAAGGCAGCUUUCUGGAUCAUUACUGACACUGAGGAACGAAAGCAUGGGUAGCGAAGAGGAUUAGAUACCCUCGUAGUCCAUGCCGUAAACGAUGUGUGUUAGACGUUGGAAAUUUAUUUUCAGUGUCGCAGCGAAAGCAAUAAACACACCGCCUGGGGAGUACGACCGCAAGGUUAAAACUCAAAUGAAUUGACGGGGACCCGCACAAGUAGUGGAGCAUGUGGUUUAAUUCGAAGAUACGCGCAGAACCUUACCAACACUUGACAUGUUCGUCGCGACUUUAAGAGAUUAAAGUUUUCGGUUCGGCCGGACGAAACACAGGUGCUGCAUGGCUGUCGUCAGCUCGUGUCGUGAGAUGUUGGGUUAAGUCCCGCAACGAGCGCAACCCUCACUUUUAGUUGCCAUCAUUUAGUUGGGCACUCUGAAAGAACUGCCAGUGAUAAGCUGGAGGAAGGUGGGGAUGACGUCAAGUCCUCAUGGCCCUUACGUGUUGGGCUACACACGUGCUACAAUGGCAUUUACAAUAGGAAGCAAGACGGCGACGUCAAGCAAAUCCUAAAAAGAUGCCUCAGUUCGGAUUGUACUCUGCAACUCGAGUACAUGAAGCUGGAAUUACUAGUAAUCGCGGAUCAGCGCGCCGCGGUGAAUACGUUCCCGGGUCUUGUACACACCGCCCGUCACACCAUGGGAGUUGGUUCUACCUUAAGGCAAGGUUUUAAACCCUUGACUACGGUAUAGUCAGCGACUGGGGUGAAGUCAUAACAAGGUAACCGUA